ensembl:lncRNA
AUGGUGACAACAAAAGACAAACUAGCAUUUUGUUUAUAUUGUUUCAGUGUUUACCUCAAAUCAGUAUUAACUACAAUGCUAAGAAAAGUGCAUUUUACAUUUGCACUUGCUUCCAACCAAAUUAACACCACAAGAUUGAAUAUGCUGGGAAAAAAGUAUGAGUGUCCAGAAUGCUGUUGGAGAGUGAGGCAAAACAACUUUGACUACUCCAAGGUUUUGAAAAGAAGAGUGAGAGAGGGAACAGAGGAGGUCCUCAUUUGUUGGGUUCCAUGCAAGACCUGUGGGACCAAAUGGAAGGACUCCUGGGAGCCCUCCUCCCUUCUUGAAUAA